rnacentral:rRNA from 1 species
UCGAACCCUGCUAAGCAGAACGACCCGCGAACUCGUUUACCAAUCCCGAGGGCCGGGGCUUGCCUCGUCCCCCUCGGAGCCKGACCGUGACCCACCCUAUCCCCUUCGAAAGGGAGACAGGCCGUUGCGGGACGGCAGGAACCCAAACACCGGCGCGGGUUGCGCCAAGGAAUAUGAAUUCAGUCGCGUCCUGCGGCCCCGGGCAACCGGGUUUCGCGGGGAAGCGUGUCGAAAAUUGAACAAAACGACUCUCGGCAACGGAUAUCUCGGCUCUCGCAUCGAUGAAGAACGUAGCGAAAUGCGAUACUUGGUGUGAAUUGCAGAAUCCCGUGAACCAUCGAGUCUUUGAACGCAAGUUGCGCCCGAAGCCAUUCGGCCGAGGGCACGUCUGCCUGGGCGUCACGCAUCGCGUCGCCCCCUUCCCCUCCGCGGAGUGGAGAGRGGGGCGGAGUAUGGCCCCCCGUGCGCCCCUGUGCGCGGCCGGCYUAAAARCGGAGCCCGUGGCUGCGAGUGCCGCGACGUUUGGUGGUUGAACCUUAAGCAUCGCGUCGUGUGCCUGUGCAGCAACGAGUAUGGCUCGGAGGACCCUUAGGCGCCGAAGCCUACCCUUGCGACCCC